GACAGAGGGUGCAAACGUUGUUCGGAAUUACUGGGCGUAAAGCGCGUGUAGGCGGUCGGGCAAGUCGGAUGUGAAAGCCCAGGGCUCAACCCUGGAAGUGCACUCGAUACUGCUCGGCUAGAGUCCCGGAGAGGAUGGUGGAACUCUCGGUGUAGAGGUGAAAUUCGUAGAUAUCGAGAAGAACACCGGUGGCGAAGGCGGCCAUCUGGACGGUG
rnacentral:rRNA from 1 species